rnacentral:rRNA from 1 species
GACGGGACCCCGCACAAGCAGUGGAGCAUGUGGUUUAAUUCGAUGCAACGCGAAGAACCUUACCUGGGCUUGACAUCCCGAGAAUCCCCUGGAAACAGGGGAGUGCCUUUCGGGGAACUCGGAGACAGGUGCUGCAUGGCUGUCGUCAGCUCGUGUCGUGAGAUGUUGGGUUAAGUCCCGCAACGAGCGCAACCCUUGUCUUUAAUUGCCAGCAUUCAGUUGGGCACUUUAAAGAGACUGCCGGUGUUAAGCCGGAGGAAGGUGGGAUGACGUCAAGUCCUCAUGGCCUUUAUGCCCAGGGCUACACACGUGCUACAAUGGGUGGUACAAAGAGAUGCCAACUCGCGAGAGCGCGCCAAUCUCAGAAAGCCAUCCUCAGUUCGGAUUGGAGUCUGCAACUCGACUCCAUGAAGUUGGAAUCGCUAGUAAUCGCGGAUCAGCACGCCGCGGUGAAUACGUUCCCGGGCCUU